rnacentral:rRNA from 1 species
CCUACGGGUGGCUGCAGUGAGGAAUAUUGGUCAAUGGCCGGGAGCCUGAACCAGCCAAGUCGCGUGAGGGAAGACGGCCCUACGGGUUGUAAACUUCUUUUGUAAGGGAGCAAGGUGCAGUUCGUGACCUGCUUUGCGUGUACCUUAUGAAUAAGCACCGGCUAAGUCCGUGCCAGCAGCCGCGGUAAUACGGAGGAUCCGAGCGUUAUCCGGAUUUAUUGGGUUUAAAGGGAGCGUAGACGGAGUCACAGGGCGGCGGUAAAAUGGCGGGGCUCAACCCCGCCCCGCCGUUGGAACUGGGGCCCUUGAGUGCGCGGAGGGUAGGCGGAAUGCGUGGUGUAGCGGUGAAAUGCAUAGAUAUGACGAAGAACUCCGAUCGCGAAGGCAGCCUGCCGGAGCGCAACUGACGCUGAUGCACGAAAGCGUGGGUAUCGAACAGGAUUAGAUACCCGAGUAGUC